rnacentral:rRNA from 1 species
UACGUAGGGCGCGAGCGUUGUCCGGAAUUAUUGGGCGUAAAGAGCUCGUAGGCGGCCUGUUGCGUCCGCUGUGAAAUCCCGGGGCUUAACCCCGGGCGUGCAGUGGAUACGGGCUGGCUGGAGGCAGGCAGGGGAGAACGGAAUUCCCGGUGUAGCGGUGAAAUGCGCAGAUAUCAGGAGGAACACCAAUGGCGAAGGCAGCUCGCUGGGACGUGACUGACGCUGAGACGCGAAAGCGUGGGGAGCAAACAGG